rnacentral:rRNA from 1 species
CUACGGGAGGCAGCAGUGGGGAAUAUUGGACAAUGGGCGAAAGCCUGAUCCAGCAAUGCCGCGUGUGUGAAGAAGGCCUGCGGGUUGUAAAGCACUUUCAGUGGGGAAGAAAAGCUCGGGGCUAAUACCUCCGGGCCUUGACGUUACCCACAGAAGAAGCACCGGCUAACUCCGUGCCAGCAGCCGCGGUAAU